UACGUAGGGGGCAAGCGUUGUCCGGAAUCAUUGGGCGUAAAGCGCGUGUAGGCGGCUCGAUAAGUCUGCUGUGAAAGCCCAGGGCUCAACCCUGGGAUGCCGGUGGAUACUGUCGAGCUCGAGUCCGGAAGAGGCGAGUGGAAUUCCUGGUGUAGCGGUGAAAUGCGCAGAUAUCAGGAGGAACACCAGUGGCGAAGGCAGCUCGCUGGGACGUGACUGACGCUGAGGCGCGAAAGCGUGGGGAGCAAACAGG
rnacentral:rRNA from 1 species